rnacentral:lncRNA from 1 species
GAUCCUGCUUCAUAAGGUGAUCUGUCUUUGUUUUGAUAUGGUACUUACUAUUUUCUAGCUGAAAAAUAUAGCUCAGGAGUAAUGAGUCAGGUCAUUUCUUUUGUAUCUGAAGGCACAGUAAUUAUAUUCUCCAUUCUGUUAUCAUUAGUCUUCAAUGGGGAAAAAAAUCCUACAGACAGUUUAGGAGGCUGGGCAUGUUAUCAGUGGAGAUGGAACUACAGGUUACCACCCCUGUAGUGUGUGACUAGGAGAAACUGAAAUCAAAAUAUCCUUAGCUUACUCUCAUUUUUCAUAACAGCCUCAGAUAUUUUUAAUAAGGUAAUCUAUCUGAAUUCAUCUCCUAACAGUCAAAAUCAAACUCAUUUUGAAACAUGGUAACUUUGAAACUGAAAUUGAAAUUUUGAGAAAGGAGAACUCUUCCAUAGUUUUGGUUUUGAAAUCUUCUCCUAUUACUUCCAUUCUUUGUUGGGAAAAAAGGAAGACAAUUAUUACUGGAAUCUUGGUUUCAUAAGUAACUUGCUAAAUCCUGCAGGAAAGCUGUUGGCAGAGGGGUUAACUGCACAUCAGAACCAUCGCUCUUUCUUCAAGACUUUCCUCCUGGCUGAAGUGUUAACUCUUCAGACCUGCCCUGUGCCUACAUCUUAUGCAGUUAUUCCUGCAGUACCCAGCAAUGUGAGAAGAGCUGCUUGGCUAACGUUUGGCAAAACUACUGCUGUGGCACAUUCUCCACAUCCCUCACAUUAAAGUAUAAAAUACAGUACUAGAGUUACAGACAAAAUAUAGGAUUCUGUGUGGUAUAUUAAAGACCGUGAGGUCUAGAAGCUGGGAUUUUCAUCCAAUGCAUGUUUUGUAGCAGAAAAUAAGGACUUCCUUAUUAAAACAUCUAGUGGUACAUGAAGAAGUAAUUACAGGAUCUGGCAUUUAUUUCACCAAAAGAAAUGUUUGUUGAUUUAUAAUGUGUAUUCCAUAAAAGGCACCCCACAAUUAAGUGCUCCUGCAUUUCAAAUUAACACAGCGAACUCAAAGUCUUGCCCCAUGCAAGCAACAGCUAUAGCUACUAUAUCAUUUUCAAAUUAAUUAAAAAAAAAAAAAAAGUGCAUUAAUUUUCAAAUGAAAAAACACAGUCCCUUUAGUUAAUAAUCUCUCCAGUUUGGCCUGAUUGAUUUACUGCACAGCAUUUGCUGCUGCUUUCCAAACAAUCUGUAUUCAUGCCAAUAAAAGACAGUGUCAACAAGUGCA